GAUGAACGCUGGCGGCGUGCUUAACACAUGCAAGUCGAACGGUGAAGGCGGACUUUGCUCUGCUGGAUGAGUGGCGAACGGGUGAGUAACACGUGAGUAAUCUGCCCCUGACUCUGGGAUAAGCGCUGGAAACGGCGUCUAAUACUGGAUACGAGCUGCGAAGGCAUGUUCAGCUGCUGGAAAGAAUGUCGGUCAGGGAUGAGCUCGCGGCCUAUCAGCUUGUUGGUGAGGUACUGGCUCACCAAGGCGUCGACGGGUAGCCGGCCUGAGAGGGUGACCGGCCACACUGGGACUGAGGCACGGCCCAGACGCCUACGGGAGGCAGCAGUGGGGAAUAUGGCACAAUGGGCGAGAGCCUGAUGCAGCAACGCCGCGUGAGGGACGACGGCCUUCGGGUUGUAAACCGCUUUUAGCAGGGAAGAAGCGGAAGUGACGGUACCUGCAGAAAAAGCACCGGCUAACUACGUG
rnacentral:rRNA from 1 species